rnacentral:rRNA from 1 species
UACGUAGGGUGCGAGCGUUAAUCGGAAUUACUGGGCGUAAAGCGUGCGCAGGCGGUUUUGUAAGCCAGAUGUGAAAUCCCCGGGCUUAACCUGGGAAUGGCAUUUGGGACUGCAAGGCUGGAGUGUGGCAGAGGAGACUGGAAUUCCCGGUGUAGCAGUGAAAUGCGUAGAUAUCGGGAGGAACAUCAGUGGCGAAGGCGGCUACCUGGCCCAAUACUGACACUCAGGUGCGACAGCGUGGGGAGCAAACAGG